rnacentral:rRNA from 1 species
CUACGGGUCGCUCCAGUGGGGAAUCUUGCGCAAUGGGCGAAAGCCUGACGCAGCAACGCCGCGUGCGGGAUGAAGGCCUUCGGGCUGUAAACCGCUUUCGGCAGGAACGAAAAUGACGGUACCUGCAGAAGAAGGAGCGGCCAACUACGUGCCAGCAGCCGCGGUGACACGUAGGCUCCAAGCGUUGUCCGGAUUUAUUGGGCGUAAAGAGCUCGUAGGCGGUUGAGUAAGUCGGGUGUGAAAACUCUGGGCUUAACCCGGAGACGCCAUCCGAUACUGCUCUGACUAGAGUUCAGGAGGGGAGUGGGGAAUUCCUAGUGUAGCGGUGAAAUGCGCAGAUAUUAGGAGGAACACCGGUGGCGAAGGCGCCACUCUGGACUGAAACUGACGCUGAGGAGCGAAAGCAUGGGUAGCAAACAGGAUUAGAUACCCGCGUAGUC